rnacentral:rRNA from 1 species
UACGUAGGGUCCGAGCGUUGUCCGGAAUUAUUGGGCGUAAAGGCUCGUAGGCGGUCCGUCACGUCGGGAGUGAAAACUCAGGGCUCAACCCUGAGCGUGCUUCCGAUACGGGCAGGACUAGAGGUAGAGGGGAGAAGUGAAUUCCGUGGUGAGCGGUGAAUGCGCAGAUAUCAGGAGGAACACCUAUGGCGAAGGCAGCUCGCUGGGACGGUAUUGACGCUGAGACGCGAAAGCGUGGGGAGCGAACAGG